rnacentral:rRNA from 1 species
AAGUCGUACGAGAGUUUUAAACUCAAGUGGCGGACGGGUGAGUAACACGUAAGAAUUUACCUUUAGGAGGGGGACAACAGCUGGAAACGGUUGCUAAUACCCCAUAUGCUUUCGAGUGAAAUGGAUUUUUCCGCCUAGAGAGAAGCUUGCGGCUGAUUAGCUUGUUGGUAAGGUAAUGGCUUACCAAGGCGACGAUCAGUAUCUGGUUUGAGAGGACGAUCAGACACACUGGAACUGAGACACGGUCCAGACUCCUACGGGAGGCAGCAGUGGGGAAUUUUCCGCAAUGGGCGAAAGCCUGACGGAGCAAUACCGCGUGAGGGAUGACGGCCUAUGGGUUGUAAACCUCUUUUUUCAGGGAGGAAUAAAAUGACGUGUACCUGAAGAAUAAGCAUCGGCUAACUCCGUGCCAGCAGCCGCGGUAAGACGGAGGAUGCAAGUGUUAUCCGGAAUCACUGGGCGUAAAGCGUCUGUAGGUGGUCCAAUAAGUCAACUGUUAAAUCUUGAGGCUCAACCUCAAAACCGCAGUCGAAACUAUUAGACUAGAGUAUAGUAGGGGUAAAGGGAAUUUCCGUGGAGCGGUGAAAUGCGUAGAGAUUGGAAGGAACACCGAUGGCGAAGGCACUUUACUGGGCUAUUACUAACACUCAAGACGAAAAGCUAGGGUAGCAAAUGGGAUUAGAUACCCCAGUAGUCCUAGCCGUAAACAA